rnacentral:rRNA from 1 species
GUGUUUCCUUCGGGAGACGCUUAGGUUAGCGGCGGACGGGUGAGUAACACGUAGGCAACCUGCCUGUAAAACCGGGAUAACUUGCGGAAACGUGAGCUAAUACCGGAUAGCUGGUUUCUUCGCAUGAAGAAGUCAUGAAAGACGGGGCAACCUGUCACUUACAGAUGGGCCUGCGGCGCAUUAGCUGGUUGGUAGGGUAACGGCUUACCAAGGCGACAAUGCGUAGCCAACCUGAGAGGGUGAACGGCCACACUGGGACUGAAACACGGCCCAAACUCCUACGGGAGGCAGCAGUAGGGAAUCUUCCGCAAUGGACGAAAGUCUGACGGAGCAACGCCGCGUGAGUGAUGAAGGUUUUCGGAUCGUAAAGCUCUGUUGCCAAGGAAAAACGGCCAGGGGAGUAACUGCCCCUGGAGUGACGGUACUUGAGAAAAAAGCCCCGGCUAACUACGUGCCAGCAGCCGCGGUAAUACGUAGGGGGCAAGCGUUGUCCGGAAUUAUUGGGCGUAAAGCGCGCGCAGGCGGUCUUUUAAGUCUGGUGUUUAAGCCCGGGGCUCAACCCCGGUUCGCACUGGAAACUGGGAGACUUGAGUGUAGGAGAGGAAAGUGGAAUUCCACGUGUAGCGGUGAAA